rnacentral:misc_RNA from 1 species
UAUUGUCAACCCAAUUCCUGUUUGCUUUAUUUCUCAAAGCCCCAAGACGAUCUACAAUUUCUUCGAGAUUCGAUACGCUCGAAUCUAAGAUCCAUCCAUUGCUCCCAUCGUUGUAACGUUUUGUGCCUAUGGUAAAGGGCUCUAGUUCCUUUAUCACCGUCGCAAGAACUACUGUAAUCGCCACCUCUAUCAAGGUGAGCCAUCUCGAUUAGGGCGAUUUUCCUGCUCUAAUACCACCUGAUGCAGCGAAGUUAGAUAAAUCAUUCACACACACGUGAGAAAGAAUUUGAGAGUAAAAUCUCUGCUGGAAAUUUAUUAAUUGAAAUUUGAAUUUAAAAUACAUAGUUUUAGGAGUAUUUAUAGAGUUUUAGACU